rnacentral:rRNA from 1 species
AGCAGCCGCGGUAAUUCCAGCUCCAAUAGCGUAUAUUAAAGUUGUUGCAGUUAAAAAGCUCGUAGUUGAAUUUCGGGGCCAGUAGGUCGGUCGUGCCACUGGUAUGAACUGGUUUUACUGAUUCCUCCCUCUUGAAGAACUGUAAUGCCAUUAAUUUGGUGUUGCAGGGAAUCAGGACUGUUACUUUGAAAAAAUUAGAGUGUUUAAAGCAGGCUUUAGCUUGAAUACAUUAGCAUGGAAUAAUGAAAUAGGAACGUUUGAUCCUAUUUUGUUGGUUUCUAGGAUUGACGUAAUGAUUAAUAGGGAUAGUUGGGGGCAUUAGUAUUCAAUUGUCAGAGGUGAAAUUCUUGGAUUUAUUGAAGACUUAACUACUUGACCGAAAGCAUUUGACCAAGGAUGGUUUUCAUUAAUCUAAGAACGUAAAGUUAGGGGAGUUACGAAGACGGAAUCGAAG